rnacentral:rRNA from 1 species
UACGUAGGGGGCGAGCGUUGUCCGGAUUUAUUGGGCGUAAAGAGCUCGUAGGCGGCUUGGCAAGUCGGGUGUGAAAACUCCAGGCUCAACCUGGAGACGCCACUCGAGACUGCUAUGGCUAGAGUCCGGUAGGGGACCACGGAAUUCCUGGUGUAGCGGUGAAAUGCGCAGAUAUCAGGAGGAACACCGGUGGCGAAGGCGGUGGUCUGGGCCGGCACUGACGCUGAGGAGCGAAAGCGUGGGGAGCAAACAGG